rnacentral:rRNA from 1 species
UCUCUUGGUUCUGGCAUCGAUGAAGAACGCAGCGAAAUGCGAUAAGUAGUGUGAAUUGCAGAAUUCAGUGAAUCAUCGAAUCUUUGAACGCACAUUGCGCCCCUUGGUAUUCCAUGGGGCAUGCCUGUUCGAGCGUCAUU